CCUACGGGGUGCAGCAGUAGGGAAUUUUUCACAAUGGGCGAAAGCCUGAUGGAACAACGCCGCGUGCAGGAUGAAGGCCUUCGGGUUGUAAACUGCUUUUAUAAGCGAGAAAUAUGAUGGUAACUUAUGAAUAAGGAUCGGCUAACUACGUGCCAGCAGCCGCGGUCAUACGUAGGAUCCGAGCAUUAUCCGGAGUGACUGGGUGUAAAGAGUUGCGUAGGUGGCAUAAUAAGUAGCUAGUGAAAUCUGGUGGCUCAACCAUUCAGACUAUUAGCUAAACUGUUAAGCUCGAGACCGUUAGGGGUAACUGGAAUUUCUAGUGUAGGAGUGAAAUCCGUAGAUAUUAGAAGGAACACCAAUAGCGUAGGCAGGUUGCUGGGACGGUUCUGACACUAAGGCACGAAAGCGUAGGGAGCAAACGGGAUUAGAUACCCGAGUAGUC
rnacentral:rRNA from 1 species